ensembl:lncRNA
UUUUAGCAUGUCGCACUGCAGUAGAUGUUAUUUGGGAGGUUUCUAGGGCGUUGCCAAGGUGUUCUGAGUGUUUUUAGCAUGUCGCACUGCAGUUGAUGUUAUUUGGGUGGUUUCUAGGGCGUUGCCAAGGUGUUCUGAUUGUUUUUAGCAUGUCGCACUGCAGUAGAUGUUAUUUGGGUGGUUUCUAGGGUGUUGCCAAGGUGUUCUGAGUGUUUUUAGCAUGUCGCACUGCAGUAGAUGUUAUUUGGGUGGUUUCUAGGGCGUUGCCAAGGUGUUCUAAUUGUUUUUAGCAUGUCGCACUGCAGUAGAUGUUAUUUGGGUGGUUUCUAGGGCGUUGCCAAGGUAUUCUGAUUGUUUUUAGCAUGUCGCACUGCAGUAGAU